UUCAGUUGAAAUGUACGGUUAGCUCGUUGGCUGUUGCUAAUAUUCCAGUAGCUAACGUUAGCUUACAAGCAGCCUUGUUUGAAAUGGUGAAAAACAGUUUGCUAGCUAGUUAGCUAUAUCAUAUAGCAUACUCCUUGGGGAUUUUGAGGGCAUUUGUGCAUUAUGCAACCACUGAGACAAAGCAGAAAUAUACCAAAUAGAUGGUCUUUCUACUACAAAAUCAACUUCUCGACGUAGCAAGUCUUCGACUGACAACAAAUGAAACUGACUCAACAAAUUUUUGGUGAUAACAUUACAGGAAAUCAGUUAAUUAUGGAACAGAAUACAGGUUCAUUAUCCACUCCAUCUGGUGGCACCCUGCUCCCCAGCAACUACAAACUGCUGCAAAGUCUGGGACAGGGAGGCUUUGGACAGGUGGUGAAAUGUCUCAAGACGGACACCAAUGAGACUGUUGCAGUAAAGAUACUGCUACAGCACCAACAAUGAAGUAGGUCCCUUAAUUCAUUAGCAGCUAUUUUUGCUUUCAUUUAAAUUUCAACAAUGGCUUCCCUACCUUUAGUGCUUGAUAACGUGUCAGCUGUGUGUCAACAACUACGGGUCCAUGUCAUUGGUCUGGCAGGCCAUUGGUCGAACAUCCCAUUAGUCGGCUCCCGGUGGGCGUAUUUCUACCUUGAUGGUGCGCCACGACCGGCUCUGGGUCAGCUGGGAAAGGCUUGAGGCGAGGCAGGCUCACGGCUUAUGUGUUUGUCACUUUCUUUUUCAUUUUAACCCACACCAUGAUCUUUUCCUAACCCUAACCAAGUGGUUUUUGUGCCUAAACCUAACCAGACCUAACCACAGGGCAUCAUGAUGAUUUCGGAACAACAGGACUUCGGAACAAUGGGUUUAAUAUGGUCGGACCAAUGGGCUGUCAGACCAAUGGGCUGUCAGACCAAUGGGCAGUUCCCACAACUACGCAUCAAACCAACAUUGUCAAGUUCAUCGACUCAUUCACACUGAGGGACAGCAGAGUUGCUUUGGUUUUCGAGAUGCUGGAAGUGACUCUCAUGGAUUACAUUGCUGUCCAUAGAAGCUACACUCCUAUGGAUUUACAGGAUAUCAGGAGUGUAGUCCAGCAGCUGGCAAUCGCAUUAGACGCCCUGAAGACCAUUGGACUGAUCCACACAGAUAUAAAGGCCGACAACAUAAUGCUGGUGGAUCGAGAAGCACAGCCCCUCAGGGUAAAGCUGAUUGACUUCGGACUGACUCUACAAACCUGGAGGGCUGAGAACGAGCAGGGCAAAUCUCAUCAAACAAUGCACUUAAAAGCUCCAGAAAUGUUCCUGGGACUUCCAUUUUCAGAGGCGAUUGACAUGUGGUUCAAAGGUGUCGUAAUGUCAAUCAUGAUGCUUGCUGCUGUGAUCUUCGUGGGUUUUAGUGAUUAUGAUGUAAUGCGAUGGAUAGUGGCAUUCCGGGGUGUACCCCCAGACCAUCUACUGACGGCUGGGACGAAGUCAAAAAAAAUACUUUGUAAAAGAAGCCUCAGGCCACUGGAGACUUAAGACACCUAAGGAGUAUUGGCAAAGUGCCACACCUCCCUGCAGAUAUCAGCCCUUGACAUUCAGCAGUCUUUGUGUUUUGGAGAUGUUUCCCCUGGAGAACCUGAACAUGGGGGGCCCUGACGAGAAGAGGGAGUGCAUUGACCUGCUGAAGACAAUGCUUCAGAUCGAUCCCAAUGAGAGGAUUACCCUCAGUCAAGUCCUCAGCCAUCCAUUUACUACAAGGGGCACCCUCCACAAAAACUUUGAGUAAGUCACAAAUGAAAGCCCUGGAACACCUUCAGCACCACCAGGUGUUACCUCUGUCCAGCCAUGUGGAUCUUCUUCAGAGACAUUACCCCCAGGUGUUAUGUUGGUGCAGCCUGCACCACCUGAAUGCCGCCUGUGGGGGGUUGACAGUCCAAAAAGCAUGCAGGUUAAUUGGAGACUCUAAAUUGACACUUAAUCUGAUCCUAUUUGAUCUAA